rnacentral:rRNA from 1 species
CAGCACCUCAAGUGGUCAGGAUGAUUAUUGGGCCUAAAGCAUCCGUAGCCGGCGCUGUAAGUUUUCGGUUAAAUCUGUACGCUCAACGUACAGGCUGCCGGGAAUACUGCAGCGCUAGGGAGUGGGAGAGGUAGACGGUACUCGGUAGGAAGGGGUAAAAUCCUUUGAUCUAUUGAUGGCCACCUGUGGCGAAGGCGGUCUACCAGAACACGUCCGACGGUGAGGGAUGAAAGCUGGGGGAGCAAACCGGAUUAGAUACCCGAGUAGUCC